rnacentral:lncRNA from 10 species
UUCACCAUGCUGCCCAGGCUGGUCUCUAACUCCUGGGCUCAAGCAAUCUGCCUGUUGGCCUCCCAAGAUGUUGGAACUACAGGUUCGGAGACUCAAAAUCUACUUCAUUAGGUGACUGACACAGGCUGUAUCUUGCUGGGGAUGAUGGCAUUCACCUCCUACAUGCACUAGAGUUGUAGAAAUCAUGGACAGGCACAAGCCACGUUUUUCAAUGAUGGUCUAAACCAUUGAAUUCAUGGUGUAGUCGUAGCCCACAUUGGCUGUUGAACUGAAAUUUUGUAAGAGUGAGUUUGAC